GGAGUGAUGGAGGUAGAUAUGUAUAGGGGGAAGGGGACAGGGAUACUGGAGUGAUGGAGGUAGAUAUGUUUAGGGGGAAGGAGACAGGGAUACUGGAGUGAUGGAGGUAGAUAUGUAUAGGGGUAAGGAGACAGGGAUACUGGAGUGAUGGAGGUAGAUAUGUAUAGGGGGAAGGAGACAGGGAUACUGGAGUGAUGGAGGUAGAUAUGUAUAGGGGUAAGGGGACAGGGAUACUGGAGUGAUGGAGGUAGAUAUGUAUAGGGGUAAGGGGACAGGGAUACUGGAGUGAUGGAGGUAGAUAUGUAUAGGGGGAAGGAGACAGGGAUACUGGAGUGAUGGAGGUAGAUAUGUAUAGGGGGAAGGAGACAGGGAUACUGGAGUGAUGGAGGUAGAUAUGUAUAGGGGGAAGGGGACAGGGAUACUGGAGUGAUGGAGGUAGAUAUGUAUAGGGGGAAGGAGACAGGG
rnacentral:lncRNA from 1 species